GAUGAACGCUAGCGGCAGGCCUAACACAUGCAAGUCGAGGGGUAACGUAGAAAGCUUGCUUUCUGACGACGACCGGCGCACGGGUGCGUAACGCGUAUACAAUCUGCCUCAUACAGGAGAAUAGCCCGGAGAAAUUCGGAUUAAUGCUCCAUGGUAAUGAAUUUCCGCAUGGUUUUUCAUUUAAAGCUCCGGCGGUAUGAGAUGAGUAUGCGUCCUAUUAGCUUGUUGGUGAGGUAACGGCUCACCAAGGCUACGAUAGGUAGGGGGCCUGAGAGGGUGACCCCCCACACUGGUACUGAGACACGGACCAGACUCCUACGGGAGGCAGCAGUGAGGAAUAUUGGUCAAUGGACGAAAGUCUGAACCAGCCAUGCCGCGUGAAGGAUGACUGCCCUAUGGGUUGUAAACUUCUUUUAUAUGGGAAUAAACGCAGGUACGUGUACCUGCCUGAAUGUACCAUACGAAUAAGGAUCGGCUAACUCCGUGCCAGCCGCCGCCGUAACAC
rnacentral:rRNA from 1 species